AAUACCCAUUAAUGGGCAAUGGCUUUGCAGCAAGGGUUUGGACGCCUGGGCCUUGGCUCUAAACCGGAUCAUCAGGGUAUGGGGCAGGGACGGUUCUCUGGGUUACGUGGGUGGGGGGAGACAGGACUGGAACGUGGGCAGGAGAAAGGCAUGAAAGAGAGAGUCCAUUUAGUUGUGUUGUUGUGAACCGAAAAUUGAUUCACUAGACACUGACAUGUAAGAGUCCUUGUCACACACACAAGGAGAACGUGAGCGGUGGGAAUAAAGGGUUAACGACUAGACUGUUUAGCUCCAGGACCAUACCACUACGGUGAUGGGAGGUACCACAGGGGAGGGGUCGUGUAUUUCGGAAGGCACCAUUGUACUAGUGAAGACAAGAAAGGUCUCCUCAUUCCGCGAGUGGAUCGGCCUCCACCCUAGACCGAGGAGAGAAUGACUCUGCCUUGACCGACCCCAGCGCCGGGCGGACCCGAUCUUCGGCCUAAAGAGUCCACCCGUCUGGAAGCCGCCACCACCAAGCUUUUAUUAAUAUAUCGGUUCCCACCGGGUUGGCUAUACAGAUGUUAAGCAACUCCGGGGGUGGGGUGAGGAGGAGGCCGCGGAGCGGUGAUUGCUUCCUGGAUGAGUUGCAUAGGGCGGGACAAAAUCCUGUCCUGAGCUCUGAUUGGUCACCGCGAGACUUCCCGCUUAAGCUCUUCCAGGGUACCAAGGUUUUCCGGAAUCACUAAGAGGCUACAAGCCGAGUCCCGGCUCCGCGCUCCCAUUGGCUGCUGUUUCGGCGCAGGCGCUGUGGUUCCUGGGUUGGCAUUCAGGGUUGCCGAGGUAGGGCUUUGGCUACUGGAGACCGUAGGUUCGAAUCCCUCUGGGAACUUCAACUUGUGCACCUGUAAAAGAAGCUGGCAUUAAUGGCUUGUACUCAAGGGCUGGCACAGAGUGUGUCGGGGUCAGAGGAGAAAAUUCCCUUUGGAAACAGAUGUGGAUAGUUGAGGACAAGAGAGCAGGACACUAACUUCCCUGUGACCUGUCCCCUCCCAGACCACGGUCACCCCAGACUCACUCGGAUCUUCUUGUAAUCGCACAGGUACUCAACUUCAAAGUCAUAGAGGUUCCUCUUAGAGACACCAAGGGCAGGGCAGGAGAGCUUGGCCAGGCGGCACAGGUCCUGCAGCUGAUUCCAAGAAGACUUGCAACACACACUACAGCCUGGAUCAGGGGGCACAAAAAGAACUAUUACUGGGCAGCCUGACCAGGUCAGGAGUCAAAGGGGACCCCAAAUCCUCCCUGGGACAUCCCAAAGACUGCCUAAGAGUCAGGGAAAUUUAAUCCACAGGCCUUCCCCAAUGCUGAGACUGUUCUACAACAGAAAUAUGCUUUGAACCCUAAUGCUCACUGCCCAAGGCUGCCCCUCGAACAGCAGACCUCUAAGUGGGGUUUGCAACAUGAAUUGUCCUAAAGGAAUCUGUUCCUCUGCAGAGCUUCAAACUCCCUCUGUUAUUCCUAAAACUGGCUGCAAACCUGCCUUGGGUUCAGGACCUGAUCACCCUUCUCUCCACUUUGCAAAAGAAAGAGAACAACCCCCCAUCUCAGUAGGAUGCAAUGCCCCGAGGAGCGAGGAGUGGUGGGUAGGGGGACAAGAUUAAAACCUCCAGGGCACCAAACAAAGGCGUAACUGGAAAGACUGGUCCUUAAUCCCUUAUCUCAAACUCCUGGGCCAGAUGUGUUUUGGAAUUCAAAGUUUUUUGAAUUUUACAAGACUAUUUCUAGGAUAUCCCAUACAUCACCUAACACCCCCAGCGUGGCCAGGGGACAUCAAGCUAUAAUCAAAUGCAUUAAUCAUCCUGCAGCAAAACUAUGAAUUUCCCACAUUAAAUAGGAGAAAAAAAGAUGUAAAAUAGCCUCACAGAAUAGUUCCACUUUAUAAUCUACUUUUGCCAUAAAUGGUGCCAAAUUUAAGAAAAGGAUUUCAGUUUUCAGGGCUUUUUAGAUUUUGUAAUCACAAGCAAGAGAUUUCGGAAUGAUAGUACAUUACAGGAAGGCUACUUAAAUGAUCAAUCUGGGUGCCUUAAAUCCACAAGGUAUAUUUUUUCCUGCUGCAUUUUGACUUUCUGUUUCAUCCAUCUUCCUGUAAAAAGCAAAGCUCGUCCAAAGGG